UAGCCAGUCUAGGCCUCCUUGGCCCCC
rnacentral:piRNA from 1 species